rnacentral:rRNA from 1 species
GACGAACGCUGGCGGCGUGCCUAAUACAUGCAAGUGGGACGCAAGAGAACACACUGUGCUUGCACACCGUGUUUUCUUGAGUCGCGAACGGGUGAGUAACGCGUAGGUAACCUUCCUAUUAGCGGGGGAUAACUAUUGGAAACAAUAGCUAAUACCGCAUAAUAUUAAUUAUUGCAUGAUAAUUGAUUGAAAGAUGCAAGCGCAUCACUAGUAGAUGGACCUGCGUUGUAAUAGCUAGUUGGUAAGGUAAGAGCUUACCAAGGCGACGAUACAUAGCCGACCUGAGAGGGUGAUCGGCCACACUGGGACUGAGACACGGCCCAGACUCCUACGGGAGGCAGCAGUAGGGAAUCUUCGGCAAUGGACGAAAGUCUGACCGAGCAACGCCGCGUGAGUGAAGAAGGUUUUCGGAUCGUAAAGCUCUGUUGUAAGUCAAGAACGUGUGUGAGAGUGGAAAGUUCACACAGAGACG